UAGGUACUAUACCCAGCAACUUGGCGCAAACGGAUCUCGGAAUCUAGGCCUAACGAGUAAUACGCGGAAAGGUGUGGAGUAGCAUACUUUGAUAGGCUAGUACCUGUGCAAUCUGUAACCAGGACACUACGUGACGACCCCCUUUGUGUUAGCUGCUUGUGAAGUUUAUGUGCGAUACUAUGUGGAUAGAGGCAUGCUGCUUAGCUAAAAAAACGGUUCAUGAAAACUCGCGUAGUAUCUAGCUAAAUAUGCAACAGUAAUGUGUAAUAGCGAUACGUAAAAAAUGAUGUAUCAUAUUGUUUAAUUAAUGUUUAAUAGAGUAUCUUUAUAAUAAUGACUCAAA